CCUUUUGGAUGCCGAGCUUAGAUCUGAAGCGGGGAGUUCCGGUUCCGUAGGUCGUAUUCCGGAAAACCAGGUGGCAGACUUCCUUGCGUUUGAGCCUCAACGAAAGCUGGGGGCCAACCAGAAUAGAUACGUAGUCCAGCCCUUAACGAGUCCACGGAUGUUUGGAGGUUUUUUUUCAGUAAACGAGUAACGCGGGAAGUGACGCCUGGGAGUACGGCGCCAGGUUGACUUAGAUGACCGGACCCGCCACACGCGGUGGAUGAUGUGGUUUAAUCGAUGCAACGCGAAAAACCUUACCUACCUGACAUGUCUGCAUUCUGAAGAGAUUUGGGAGUGCUCGAAAGAGAGCCAGAACACAGGUGCUGCAUGGCCGUCGUCAGCUCGUGUCGUGAGAUGUUGGGUUAAGUCCCGCAACGAGCGCAACCCUUGUCAUUAGUUGCUACGAAAGGGCACUCUAAUGAGACUGCCGGUGACAACCCGGAGGAAGGUGGGGAUGACGUCAGGUCGUCAUGGCCCUUAUGGGUAGGGCUACACACGUCAUACAAUGGCCGGGACAGAGGGCUGCCAACCCGCGAGGGGGAGCUAAUCCCAGAAACCCGGUCGUAGUCCGGAUCGUAGUCUGCAACUCGACUGCGUGAAGUCGGAAUCGCUAGUAAUCGCGGAUCAGCUUGCCGCGGUGAAUACGUUCCCGGGUCUUGUACACACCGCCCGUCACACCAUGGGAGCGGGUUCUGCCAGAAGUAGUUAGCCUAACCGCAAGGGGGGCGAUUACCACGGCAGGGUUCGUGACUGGGGUGAAGUCGUAACAAGGUAACCGUAAAUCGAAUCCCGCGGCCUGCACAUGGCGGCCAGGAGCAUGACGAUGACGCAUUAG
rnacentral:rRNA from 1 species